UUAAUCUCACUUGUUCUGUAAAGAGUUGGAUCCGACGCCUCUGGAAGGCUACUAUAGGCUCUCCUUCCCAACUCCUACUCAAUACGUCCGCGACGUUCAGAACGGUAACUUGUCGCCUAGAUAUCCUGGCUUGGGUAUACGGAGCGAUCCUACCCCUUGGGCGGAUGAGCGACAAGGCUGAAUUGAGAGGU
rfam:Anopheles atroparvus strain EBRO unplaced genomic scaffold supercont1.271, whole genome shotgun sequence.